rnacentral:rRNA from 1 species
CGCGAAUGGCUCAUUACAACAGCUAUAAUUUACUUGAUCUUGACUUCCUACUUGGAUAACUGUGGUAAUUCCAGAGCUAAUACAUGCACCAAAGCUCCGACCUUACGGGAAGAGCGCAUUUAUUCGAACAAAACCAAGCGGCUUCGGCCGUCCGCAGUUGACUCAGAAUAACUAAGCUGAUCGCAUGGUCUUGAACCGGCGACGUGUCUUUCAAGAAUCUGCCUUAUCAACUUUCGAUGGUAGUGUAUCUGACUACCAUGGUGGUGACGGGUAACGGAGGAUAAGGGUUCGACUCCGGAGAAGGGGCCUGAGAAAUGGCCACUACGUCUAAGGAUGGCAGCAGGCGCGCAAAUUACCCACUCUCAGAAUGAGGAGGUAGUGACGAGAAAUAACGAGACCGUUCUCUACGAGGCCGGUCAUCGGAAUGGGUACAAUUUAAACCCUUUAACGAGUAUCUAUGAGAGGGCAAGUCUGGUGCCAGCAGCCGCGGUAAUUCCAGCU